GGGUUGAUGUUCUAAUGGCAUGAUGCGGGAUUCCAAAUCCUUGCGGUUCAAGUUCGAGUCUUGAUCAGCCCGCCA
rnacentral:tRNA from 1 species